CAUGGACAAUUUCUCUCUGUCUAGAACCCACCAAAGGUGUCUUCAACUCCAACUUAAGAGUUGUAGACUUCACAGAGUUCUGACUUACUCACCUGGAUAGUUUCUCAGUCUGACAUCAGGAACAUAGGCACAAGAAUAGACUGUUCAGCUUGGUCCACCUUUCUACAUCAUGGCUAAUCUCCUCAAUGCCAAUUGCACUGUCACCUUGUGCCUAUCAAUUUCUGAUAACAUUCUUGUUCCCUACUGAAUGCUUCAAUCGAUCCUGCCUCCUCCGCACUCUCAGGAAAUACAUUCCAGGCCUUAACCAUUUGUUUUGUGAAAAAGCUUCGCCCUCAUAUUGACUUUGAUUCUUCUGCCAACGACUAUAAAUCUGAACUCUGAUGUCAACUCCCACUGCUGAGACUUUUAAAAAAAAACUUGCCUGGGAUGUGGGUGUCACUGGCAACAGGACUAACAAUUGCCCUUGAACUAAGUGGUUUACUGGGUCAUUUCUGAGAGCAGUUAAGAGUCAACCAUAUUGCUGUGUGCCUGGAGUGAAACAUAGGCCAGAACAGAUGCUGCCUGACCUGCCGUGUUCAAAACGUUCAGCAUUUUUGCACCACUUUUAUCUCUCAACCAACGCCUAAAAGUCAAUAUUUGGCCAUUUAUUUAAAUUAUUCAAUGCUGUUCAUGGGAUUUUGGUGCCUGUAAGUUGGUUGCUACUUUUUCUGCACAUAAUAGCAACAAACUCCAAAAUAAUUGACUGUAAAUUACUUCUGAGACAUCCUGUUGUUGUGAAAAGUGCUAGCAAAUGCAAAUUCUUAGUUUUGUAUUUCUGUAAAACACCAAACUUAAAGCAAAUAAAAAUUAGGUGGAAUCUUAUGAAGGCCUGAACAACAUGGGCUGUUGUGAGAAAUGUGCAAUUAUGGAAGAAAUUCAACAUACAUUGACUUUGGAAGCAACUUUCUGUGCCUUUUACCCACAUUGUGGGUGUCAAGGCCAGACCCUCGUUAGGCGGUAGUCAGUUGCCUAUGAAGAGAGAUUGUUGUCUGUGCACAGCACUGUUAAUGCCACAAAAUUGUUAAUACCAUGACAUUGUUAAUGACACAACUUGCCUCAUUAAUACGCAUCUCUUUAUCCUCUCACCCUAGACAUCAAGAAAUCUCACUAUGGAAGUCAGAUUGGAUACCUGGCAAAUUUAGUUCACUGCUUGUUCCAAAGGAUCUCCACGUCUAUAAUAGGCAUAAGCAUCUCAGAUCAUGCUCCAUGGGCACCAGUCAGACAAACCCCACAUCCACAGAUAGCUGAGACUGAGCUGGCCUUGGUGGCAAGCUCAGACCAGGCUGGCAUGGUCUGGUGGCCUGGUGUCAUGGUCUCCAUUGCUGGUCCUUAAGGCGGUGGAAGACCUGUCU